rfam:Homo sapiens chromosome 16, GRCh38 reference primary assembly.
GCCGGGCAUGGUGGUGCGUGCCUGUAAUCCCGCCUACUAGGGGGGCUGAGGUAGGAGGAUCGCUUGAACCUGGGAGGCUGAGGUUGCAGUGAGCUUAGAUUGUGCCACUGCACUUCAGCCUGGGCAACAGAGCGAGACUCCAUCUCAA